rnacentral:rRNA from 1 species
AACGUAGGUCACAAGCGUUGUCCGGAAUUACUGGGUGUAAAGGGAGCGCAGGCGGGAAGACAAGUUGGAAGUGAAAUCCAUGGGCUUAACCCAUGAACUGCUUUCAAAACUGUUUUUCUUGAGUAGUGCAGAGGUAGGCGGAAUUCUCGGUGUAGCGGUGGAAUGCGUAGAUAUCGGGAGGAACACCAGUGGCGAAGGCGGCCUACUGGGCACCAACUGACGCUGAGGCUCGAAAGUGUGGGUAGCAAACAGG